CAAGGCUAGAAAAAAAAAUAAAUAAAAGGCAGCCUUCUUGAGUAAAAAAAAGCCAAGGCUAGAAAAAAAAUAUCGAGCGAAAAAUAGAAAUGAUAAAAGAAAGCUCAAAAGAAUAAGUUGACUUGGUUAGAUGGUCACUUGGUUAGAUGGUCGAAAAAUCUCAUGUUUGGGUGUUGAGCUGUGAGAAAUUUGUACGCAUUGACUGAGAUGUGAAAGAUGUUGUGAUGGAUGUGCUAGUAUUUUAAGAAUGGUGGUAAGCUACUUAACCAUAUAUUAUCCCACCUUUACCAAAAGCCCCGUUACAUCCCAAUGAAUAAGACCUUUUCAUUUAUGCAUCAUAUUGACUUGUGAGCGAUGAAUUUUGCUUGAAUUUGGGAGAAAGAUCUUAUGUGCUUAAAAUAAAGAAUAGCCGGAAGAACUUCCCUUUAGGAAUUAGUAACGAUGGUUUGAGACUCCCAAGACACAACUCGAACUUAUAUUGAAGCAUGGGAUGCCUAGGUCUUAAGGAAUUAGUUCGUGUACAAUUCUUGUUCGAAAGUUUUACCCGCGAGUGAAUUCACGGUCGACCUAAUUUCCCUACUGAUUCGUUAUCUUGACUUGAAGGAGAGGAUUAUCUAAUAUCUUCUGACUGUGCUUUAUUGUCUAACUUGCUCGAGGGCUAGCAAGACUUAAGUUAUGGGGGUGUUUGAUGUGAGUGGGUAAUUGUCUAACUUGUUCCUCGGAGUAUACAAUGGAAUGGAGGGUAUCGUAUUACUGCUCCAAGUCAGUUUUGACCACUUCGAUAUUAAGUUGGUCUUGCUGUCUCCAAAAUCUGAAGAUCACGAUACCAGGAUGUGUGGAAAGAAUUUCUAUUUGAGUCAGAUUAAAGAGCUGUGUGCCAAUCCUAUUUGAGGCGACUGAGAUAAUUUCUAGAGCACUCAUUUCAGCUGGAAUCACAAACAGAGUUGACACCGAUGAAUGGAAUCCAUCCACUGAUACACAUCUUCCUCGAUUGAUAACCUCUCUGGAAAUGUUGUGAUACACC